rnacentral:rRNA from 1 species
UACGAAGGUGGCAAGCGUUACUCGGAAUUACUGGGCAUAAAGGGACCGUAGGCGGCAGAAGAAGUCGAGGUUGAAAUCCCCUGGCUCAACCAGGGAACUGGCCUCGAUACUGCUUUGCUUGAGGUCGGAAGAGGCUCGCGGAACUCUCGGUGGAGCGGUGAAAUGCACAGAUAUCGAGAGGAACACCGGUGGCGAAGGCGGCGAGCUGGUCCGAUUCUGACGCUGAGGGUCGAAAGCUAGGGUAGCAAACGGG